rnacentral:misc_RNA from 1 species
GUGAAUCAUCGAAUUUUUGAACGCAAAUUGCACUCUCUGGUAUUCCGGAGAGUAUGCGUGUUUGAGGGUCAGUUUAAAUAAAAAUCUGUGUGGUUGCUGCUUUUCGUGGUGACGUACCGGAUUUGGGUCGUCUUGCUUUCGGUUAAGUGACCUAAAAUUUUGUAUGAUUUUUUCGAACGUAUUUAAAUGACUUUAUGUACGUUUGUGAUGUAGAAUUCUAGGUUUGGUCUUACUCAUA